rnacentral:misc_RNA from 1 species
GGAAGGAUCAUUAACACAUUGUCCAUUUGAGGAUUUGAGAGGUUGUUUUCUAAUAAUCUUUUCAAAUCCUUCAAACCUCUUGCAUAAAGUUGAAGUCUUCAACAAGUUUUUCAUUAAAACUUUAAAAAAUUGGAUUACUCGUGUAAUCUCGCUCAGUAUAUGAUUUUAUUAUCAUUAUACUCGACUGAUUGUUUGUAAAAAAACAAAACAAAAUUAUAUAAUAACCAAGAUAACUUGGGACAGUGGAUACCUUGGUUCCCAGGUCGAUGAAGAGCGCAGCGAACUGCGAUAAGUCAUGUGAAUUGCAGAAUUCCGUGAAUCAUCGAACUCUUGAACGCAAAUUGCAUUUUGGUGUUGAGCCAAAAUGUGCCUGCUCGAGUGUCGGCAAUAAACCCUCAUUUUUAAUUAAAUGAUAUUGAGAGUUUAGUUAUUUAUUACUAAUCUCUUUAAAUUAAUGGAGAAUGAUAUAUUUAUUGAAUUUAUUCAAUUUAUAAAUCAUAAACCACAUUGAAUUUAAGUGACUUUUUGUUAUGAAUCUUCAAUUGGUGAUUUAUAAUGAUGUAAUAUAUUCUUUUAUAUAUCUCUUUAUUCUUCUUUUUUCAAUAUAUAUAGCUUAAUUCUAUCCAAUUGAAAAAUACAAAAAUAAAAAUCUCGACCUCGAAUUAGGCAAGAUCACCCGGUGGACUUAAGCAUAUUAUUAACCGGAGGAAAAGAAACUAACUAGGAUGCCCGUAGUAAUGGCGAAUGAAGUGGGCAAAGCUCAAAUUUAAAAUCUAAACGUCUGAGGGCGUUUCGAAUUGUAGUUUUUGGAUCGUUAGUCACGGAAUUGUUGAUGGUAGAUGUAAGUCCCUUGGAAUGGGGCGUCAUAGAGGGUGAGAAUCCCGUAUAUGAUCUCGUCAACAGUUCAAUACGUGUCUGGCUUUUCACGAGUCGGGUUGUUUGGGAUUGCAGCCCUAAAUAGGUGGUAGAUCUCAUCUAAAGCUAAAUAUUCCUGGGAGACCGAUAGCGAAGAAGUAGUGUGAACGAAAGGUGAAAAGAACUUUGAAAAGAAGGUGAAAAGUACUUGAAGCUGUUCUAAGGGAACCGUAUGGAACCAGUGAUUGUUUGUGGGUAAUUCAGGAGGUACCGCAAAGUUGGUGUCGAUUAUACGGUGUUGUAUGACACGGAAUAGUUGGACCUGAUGAGUGGUGCUUUUGUAUUUUAUCUACCGAACGAGUCAGCAUCAGUUUGAUUCGAUGACGGAGAAAGGUGUAGGAAAGGUGAACUAGGCUUUCGGGUUUAGUUGUUAUAGUCCUAUAUUGCAUACGUCAUUUCAGACUGAGGAAAUAAAAACACAUGCCUCGGCGAGGUAGUUGGUGGACUUGAGGGGACGAGUGUGUAAGUCUGCUUGCAGGUUGCGUGCUUUGUCUUUUCAACGGAAGCUAACCCCAUCGGUGUGUUCGGGAUGUUGACGAAAUGGUUUCAUACGACCCGUCUUGAAACACGGACCAAGGAGUCUAACAUGUAUGCGAGUAUUUGGGUGGAAAACCCGAUGAAUGCGUAAUGAAAGUGAAUGACCUGAAGCUCUUGAAGCCGCAAGGUCGACCGACUACAUUUAGGUGUGGUUUGCGUCUGAGCACACAUGAUGGGACCCGAAAGAUGGUGAACUUUGCGUGCGCAGGGUGAAGCCAGAGGAAACUCUGGUGGAGGCUCGUAGAGAUACUGACGUGCAAAUCGUUCUUCUGACGUGCGUAAAGGGGCGAAAGACUAAUCGAACCAUCUAGUAGCUGGUUUACAC